UACAUAGGGGGCGAGCGUUAUCCGGAAUUAUUGGGCGUAAAGCGUGCGUAGGUGGUUUGUUAAGUCAGAAGUGAAAUACUAAGGCUCAACCUUAGUCUGCUUCUGAUACUGGCUGACUAGAGUACGGUAGAGGUAAGUGGAAUUUCAUGUGUAGCGGUAAAAUGCGUAGAUAUAUGAAGGAACACCGGUGGCGAAGGCGGCUUACUAGGCCGGCACUGACACUGAGGCACGAAAGCGUGGGUAGC
rnacentral:rRNA from 1 species